UAGUCCACGCCGUAAACGAUGUCUACUUGGAGGUUGUGGCCUUGAGCCGUGGCUUUCGGAGCUAACGCGUUAAGUAGACCGCCUGGGGAGUACGGUCGCAAGAUUAAAACUCAAAUGAAUUGACGAGGGCCCGCACAAGCGGUGGAGCAUGUGGUUUAAUUCGAUGCAACGCGAAGAACCUUACCUACUCUUGACAUCCAGAGAAUCCAGCGGAGACGCAGGAGUGCCUUCGGGAGCUCUGAGACAGGUGCUGCAUGGCUGUCGUCAGCUCGUGUUGUGAAAUGUUGGGUUAAGUCCCGCAACGAGCGCAACCCUUGUUUCCAGUUGCCAGCAUGUAAAGAUGGGGACUCUGGAGAGACUGCCGGCGUAAGCCGCGAGGAAGGUGGGGACGACGUCAAAUCAUCAUGGCCUUUAUGCCUGGGGCUACACACGUGCUACAAUGGCAGAUACAGAGGGUUGCUAAACCGCGAGGUGGUGCUAAUCUCAAAAGCCGUUCA
rnacentral:rRNA from 1 species